CUUACAUUCGAGUCGGCGCUCUUUCUGCUCCCACUUCUUCCGGUCGGGUGGGAAUCAGGAGUAACCUGGUGUGUUCGUCGCCAGGGCAACGUUGCUGGACCGGAAUCUGACAUUGUGAAGAAGAUGGUGAAUGUUUUGAAAGGAAUACUUAUAGAAUGUGACCCAGCUAUGAAGCAGUUCCUGCUGUACCUGGAUGAAUCAAAUGCUCUGGGAAAGAAGUUCAUCAUACAAGACUUAGAUGAAACACAUGUCUUUGUGUUGGCUGAAAUGGUUAACUUCUUGCAAGAGAGAGUGGGAGAAUUAAUGGACCAGAACUCUUUUCCUAUUACACAGAAAUAAAAAGCGAGGCUGGAUUUGGAUACAUAUCUAACUGAGAGCCUGUAAAUUUUUCUGUGAAUCAAUUUAAGGCAGAUUGAAGUCACUAAGAGAAUCUUCAAGAACUGGAAACAAUUGAACAGAAGAAAAAAAAGAUAUGGGAAACCUAAGUGAAAGUCCUUCCUCAGCCAUGCUGGUUGGUUGAGUAGCUUCAACUGAGGCACUUUUUUUUCACCCCAACCCAACCUAACUUAACCUGCAGUAAGAGAAACAUUCACAAUCUGCAGUGUAAGACUCACUUGCAACUCCUCCAUAGCAGAGCCUUUUCAGAACUUGUAAACAAAUUGUGAUUAUUAAUGUGAUUUUUUUUUCUAUACAGUCAUGUCUCAGAGACUGCCUGGACAAGUUCCUGCAAGUUUCUUGGCUAGCUUUUUCAGAAGUGUUUUGCCAUUGCUUCCUUCCUAAGGCUGAGAGAAAUGACUGGCCCAAGGUCAUCCAGCUGGCUUUGUGCCCAAGGGGUAUUUCAUGUUAGAUCAUAUAUAGCUGAUAGCACUUGAGCUAAAGGUUUGAUAAUCAAAUCAAAAUUUACAAACAUGGCUUGAUACAAAACAGAUCAACUAUGUCUCUCUUAAGCUUGAGACCACAAAUUAUGGUUUAUGAUGUGAUUUUAAGGUCAUAAUUUGGAGUAGCACUUUGAAAAAAAGCAAAAUUCCCAAAUAUGAACUGUCUACAUGCCUGCAAAACACAGCAGUUUGCAUAUGGUUCCAUACCUGGAAGCAAAUCCUGAGACUUCCUAUUUAUUUAUUUCCAUCCUAAUAAUCUGUUUUUUAUCUGAACUUAUCACCAGUAUAACAUUAGUUUAUAUAAAAUUCUCUAGUGCAUUUUAUUACAAAAAACAUAAACCAUUGCUAGCUUAUUCAUUUCAUUCUAAAUAUUCUGAAAUAGUUUAUGGAAGAUAAUUAUACUCCUUUGUCUUCUCCACCAAGUGCUUGAUUUGUUACCUUUAAAUAUAUUAAUUGGUCAGAAAUACUGAAAAAUAACAAUGAAAGUUUUGUUGAAUGCUGAAUUUAGACAUAGCAGUUAAACCAUAAUGUAGUUCAUUUUACCUUGCUUUACACAUUCAUGAUGUGUUGAUUACAGCUGAAUUUUAUGAAUAACUCAUAUUUAUAUGAUUAGAACAAACAAUGGACUAAUGGAACAUGUAGCUAUAAAAGAUAAAAAGGUCUCUAGUUUAAGUGUGCUACCUUACUAGAAGCCUACAUAUUGUUGCACAAAAAGACCCUGGUUGAGAUCAUUUGGUUUCUUUUAGAGAGGAUAAACAUUUUCCUGUGGUGAUCAGUAGCAUAGCACCUGGCACAUAUGUUGGGGGUCAGGGGGUGUCCAAAGUUAAGUCUGUACAUACAGAUAUACAGAAUCACUAAAUUUCACACAGCUUCUUUUCACAUAAGCAUUUUUAAAUAUAUAUAUAUAUUUGGCCCUCACUGCAUUUUAUAUUGGAAUUUGCUACCUAAAAAAUUUGUUAAAUUCUGCUAUACCAUUUGAAGAGAGAAAAACUUGGACUCUAGAAACUAUUGAUUCCUUUUUAGAAUUAUGCUGUGUACAUAAUAUCAUCUGUGCUUAAUCAUUUUUUAGUAAAUCACAUGAUUACACUGACCACUAUAUAGCUAAUUUCUGAAAUCUAAAAAACAGAACAUUUUAAGCCGCUUCUGUAAGCUUAAAAAUACAUUUUUUAAAUUCUUCCACUGUGCCCAAAGAUUUCCUUUUAAUUUAAAAAGAACACAAUCAACUGACUGUCAUGGUGAUCGAUUACAGUUCAUAAUUAUAAUGCAUGAGCCACUUUAAUAUGCUUUAUAAUCUUCAAGUUUUAGAAUAAUAACUUAGUCACAAGCGUCCCCAUUUUAUGGCUGGGAAUCAGAUUCUGCACUGCAUGUAACUAGCAGCUUAUUGGUGACAAGAUAUUUGAAAUAGAUUCAAGUUCAUUGCUCUGCUUAAUGAAUCACAUUGCUAUUUGCUCUCCUUCCUAUAAUUUUUCUUUACAAUACUUUUUGUCAUUUUUGCUUUCACUUCUUACCAUGGUUGGAAGAAAAAUGAAUUUAACUCCUAGAGAAAAAGAAAACUCUUUUUCUGAUAUUUGAUCCCUUUUUGCUUUAUAUCUAAUCUUUUACAUCUGAUGUAAGACCUACUUCUAGACAUCUUUUAGCUUCAGUCUUGUCACGGAACAUACCAGGAAGAAAAGCUCUUACCCAAUUUAUUAAAAGAGUUGUUGAAUAUCUGUGAGUCACACAUUCAUUCUUUUAAAACUCAGGUUAAUAGUUGCUUUCGAAUGAAUGGCAAUGUCUAUGUAAUGUAAUGUAAUGUAAUGCCCAUGUUUCUAGCUCUGAUAGUUGAUCAAGCUGUUAGCAUUUGUCUUUUCUUAACUUUGAUAAAUUUUGUUUUCAAAAUGCCUGGCACAAUAUAAUUUGGAAGACAAAUAAUUUAGUAUGAAAAGAGACUCCUUACUUAUUAUAGGAGAAUUGUUUAAAACAGAGCUAGCCAUAUGAUAGGUCAUAUUGUUGUAUGGUAUUUUCCCCAUGAUUUCUGAAUGAGCAAUAGCUACUUUGCUAUCACCAAAAUUCAGGUUUUAUUCCAUUGGGUUUUUUUCUCCUCUGAAUUUCUCCAUCUCCCUGUCCCCAAUUCCAUUUGCACAUCUUGAUUGGGUUCCAGCACCUAUCAUUAAAAUUAAAAUCACUUGCAUUUAUGAAAACUUCUUGCCUCUGUACUGUAGCAAAUAUUAAUCUCAAAUUUAAAUUAUAUAAAUGUGUAUCAACAGGAGAUAAUUCACCUAUGCAAAAAAGUUCAACAAUGAAUGCAUUUGUUGCUCUGCCAUUGCCACAGAAAAGAUAGGAAAAAUUGGGAAGGAAUGAAAGUGAUAGCCAUAUUCUGUAGCUUUGAAGGCAAAAAUGUUUCAACACAAAAGUUUGACUAAAAGUGUUGAUAACGUGUGUUACAUCUAUAAAAUGUUUCACUUUUGCCUUUUCCUCAAAAGUUAGAAUCAAUUAACUUAAUUGGAAAGUACUUACAUUGUACAGUAAUGAAAUAAAGAUUUCAUUUAUAUUACAGCUGUUUUGUGUAGAAAAUUAGUUUUUAAGACAUAUAUGCGCAUUUCACUUAUUUAAGGUUUGUUUGAACCCUGUGUGUUUCAAACCUGGUGUAAUAACAUUUAAAGGUAAAGUUUUCUCUGAGUCAAGCUCAAUUGGUGACUUUGUUUAUACAUCCAUGUGAGUUUCUGGCCACCAAUAAAGUUGUUUGCCAUCACCA